GAUGAACGCUGGCGGCGUGCCUAACACAUGCAAGUCGAGCGGAGGGUCGUUCGGUUUGCUUCUUUGCUGUUGGCGGCGGACGGGUGAGUCACCCGUGGAUCUACUUCCUAUCAGACUGGGAUAACUUCGGGAAAUAGCAGAUGAUACAGGAUAAUCUCUUGAACCGCCUGGUUAAGAUGUCCUCUAUGGUUUUGCUGUCACUAAUAGAUGGAUCUGCGCUGCAUUAGCUAGUUGGUAAGGUAACGGCUUACCAAGGCAACGAUGCAUAGCCGACCUGAGAGGGUGAUCGGCCACACGGGAACGGAGACACGGUCCAGACUCCUACGGGAGGCAGCAGUAGGGAAGCUGCCGCAAUGGGCGAAAGCCUGACGGAGCAACGCCGCGUGAGUGAUGAAGGUCUUCGGAUCGUAAAACUCUGUUAUUAGGGAAGAACAUAUGUGUAAGUAACUGUGCACAUCUUGACGGUACCUAAUCAGAAAGCCACGGCUAACUACGUG
rnacentral:rRNA from 1 species